UACAGAGGGGGCAAGCGUUAUUCGGAAUUAUUGGGCGUAAAGGGCGCGUAGGCGGCCGUGCAAGUGGAAGGUGAAAUCCCUCGGCUCAACCGAGGAACUGCCUUUCAAACUGCAUGGCUUGAGUCCGGGAGAGGUGAGUGGAAUUCCCAGUGUAGCGGUGAAAUGCGUAGAUAUUGGGAGGAACACCAGUGGCGAAGGCGGCUCACUGGACCGGAACUGACGCUGAGGUGCGAAAGCGUGGGGAGCAAACAGG
rnacentral:rRNA from 1 species